rnacentral:rRNA from 1 species
CCUGGCUCACGAUGAACGCUAGCUACAGGCUUAACACAUGCAAGUCGAGGGGCAGCAUGGUCUUAGCUUGCUAAGGCCGAUGGCGACCGGCGCACGGGUGAGUAACACGUAUCCAACCUGCCGUCUACUCUUGGACAGCCUUCUGAAAGGAAGAUUAAUACAAGAUGGCAUCAUGAGUCCGCAUGUUCACAUGAUUAAAGGUAUUCCGGUAGACGAUGGGGAUGCGUUCCAUUAGAUAGUAGGCGGGGUAACGGCCCACCUAGUCUUCGAUGGAUAGGGGUUCUGAGAGGAAGGUCCCCCACAUUGGAACUGAGACACGGUCCAAACUCCUACGGGAGGCAGCAGUGAGGAAUAUUGGUCAAUGGGCGAGAGCCUGAACCAGCCAAGUAGCGUGAAGGAUGACUGCCCUAUGGGUUGUAAACUUCUUUUAUAAAGGAAUAAAGUCGGGUAUGGAUACCCGUUUGCAUGUACUUUAUGAAUAAGGAUCGGCUAACUCCGUGCCAGCAGCCGCGGUAAUACGGAGGAUCCGAGCGUUAUCCGGAUUUAUUGGGUUUAAAGGGAGCGUAGAUGGAUGUUUAAGUCAGUUGUGAAAGUUUGCGGCUCAACCGUAAAAUUGCAGUUGAUACUGGAUAUCUUGAGUGCAGUUGAGGCAGGCGGAAUUCGUGGUGUAGCGGUGAAAUGCUUAGAUAUCACGAAGAACUCCGAUUGCGAAGGCAGCCUGCUAAGCUGCAACUGACAUUGAGGCUCGAAAGUGUGGGUAUCAAACAGGAUUAGAUACCCUGGUAGUCCACACGGUAAACGAUGAAUACUCGCUGUUUGCGAUAUACAGCAAGCGGCCAAGCGAAAGCGUUAAGUAUUCCACCUGGGGAGUACGCCGGCAACGGUGAAACUCAAAGGAAUUGACGGGGGCCCGCACAAGCGGAGGAACAUGUGGUUUAAUUCGAUGAUACGCGAGGAACCUUACCCGGGCUUAAAUUGCAGAUGAAUUACGGUGAAAGCCGUAAGCCGCAAGGCAUCUGUGAAGGUGCUGCAUGGUUGUCGUCAGCUCGUGCCGUGAGGUGUCGGCUUAAGUGCCAUAACGAGCGCAACCCUUGUUGUCAGUUACUAACAGGUUCCGCUGAGGACUCUGACAAGACUGCCAUCGUAAGAUGUGAGGAAGGUGGGGAUGACGUCAAAUCAGCACGGCCCUUACGUCCGGGGCUACACACGUGUUACAAUGGGGGGUACAGAGGGCCGCUACCACGCGAGUGGAUGCCAAUCCCCAAAACCUCUCUCAGUUCGGACUGGAGUCUGCAACCCGACUCCACGAAGCUGGAUUCGCUAGUAAUCGCGCAUCAGCCACGGCGCGGUGAAUACGUUCCCGGGCCUUGCACACAC